ensembl:misc_RNA Metazoa_SRP Metazoan signal recognition particle RNA
GUCAGGCACAGUAGCGCACACCUGUGGCACCAGCUACUCCAGAGGCUGAGGUGGGAUGAUCACUUGAGCCAGGGAUUUCUGUGCUGUUGUGCAUUAUGUUGAUCAGGUGUCCACACUAAGUUAGGCAUCAGUACGGUGACCUCUCAGGAGCAGGGAACCACAAGGUUGCCUAAGAAGAGGUGAACUGGCCCAGGCUGGAAAGGGAGCAGGUCAAAGCUUCCAUGCUGAUCAGUAGUGGGAUCUCACCUGUGAAUAGCCACUGUGCUCCAGCCUGGGCAACAUAGCGAGACCCCAUCUUUU